GUGCUCACUUUGACAGCUUCCCAGGACUAAAAUUGGGACCAUACAGAGAAGAUUAGCAUGGCCUCUGCACAAGAAUAACAUGCAAAUUUGUGAAACAUUUUGUAUUUUU
rnacentral:snRNA from 1 species